rnacentral:rRNA from 1 species
GACGAACGCUGGCGGCGUGUUUAACACAUGCAAGUCGAACGGAAAGGCCCUGCUUUUGUGGGGUGCUCGAGUGGCGAACGGGUGAGUAACACGUGAGUAACCUGCCCUUGACUUUGGGAUAACUUCAGGAAACUGGGGCUAAUACCGGAUAGGAGCUCCUGCUGCAUGGUGGGGGUUGGAAAGUUUCGGCGGUUGGGGAUGGACUCGCGGCUUAUCAGCUUGUUGGUGGGGUAGUGGCUUACCAAGGCUUUGACGGGUAGCCGGCCUGAGAGGGUGACCGGCCAAAUUGGGACUGAGAUACGGCCCAGACUCCUACGGGAGGCAGCAGUGGGGAAUAUUGCACAAUGGGCGGAAGCCUGAUGCAGCAACGCCGCGUGCGGGAUGACGGCCUUCGGGUUGUAAACCGCUUUCGCCUGUGACGAAGCGUGAGUGACGGUAAUGGGUAAAGAAGCACCGGCUAACUACGUG